AUUUUAACGCUGGCGGCAGGCUUAACUCAUGCAAGUCGACUCGGUAACAGGGGAGCUUGCUCCUGCUGACGAGCGGCGGACGGGUGAGUAACGCGUAGGAAUCUACCUAGUAGAGGGGGACAACAUGUGGAAACGCAUGCUAAUACCGCAUACACCCUAAGGGGGAAAGGAGGGGACUCUUCGGAGCCUUCCGCUAUUAGAUGAGCCUGCGUGAGAUUAGCUAGUUGGUAGGGUAAAGGCCUACCAAGGCGACGAUCUCUAACUGGUCUGAGAGGAUGACCAGUCACACUGGGACUGAGACACGGCCCAGACUCCUACGGGAGGCAGCAGUGGGGAAUAUUGGACAAUGGGCGGAAGCCUGAUCCAGCCAUGCCGCGUGUGUGAAGAAGGCCUUAGGGUUGUAAAGCACUUUCAGGGGUGAGGAAGGGUAACUGGCUAAUAUCCAGUUAUCUUGACGUUAGCCCCAGAAGAAGCACCGGCUAACUCUGUGCCAGCAGCCGCGGUUAAUAC
rnacentral:rRNA from 1 species